rnacentral:rRNA from 1 species
UUCCGGUUGAUCCCGCCGGACCUGACUGCUAUCGGAUUGAUACUAAGCCAUGCGAGUCAUUGUAGCAAUACAAGGCAUACGGCUCAGUAACGCGUAGUCAACCUAACCUAUGGACGGGAAUAACCUCGGGAAACUGAGAAUAAUGCCCGAUAGAACACUAUACCUGGAAUGGUUUGUGUUCCAAAUGAUUUAUCGCCAUAGGAUGGGACCGCGGCCUAUCAGUUUGUUGGUGAGGUAAUGGCCCACCAAGACUAUUACAGGUACGGGCUCUGAGAGGAGUAGCCCGGAGAUGGGUACUGAGACACGGACCCAGGCCCUAUGGGGCGCAGCAGGCGAGAAAACUUUGCAAUGUGCGAGAGCACGACAAGGUUAAUCCGAGUGAUUUGUGCUAAACGAAUCUUUUGUUAGUCCUAGAAACACUAACGAAUAAGGGGUGGGCAAGUUCUGGUGUCAGCCGCCGCGGUAAAACCAGCACCUCAAGUGGUCAGGAUGAUUAUUGGGCCUAAAGCAUCCGUAGCCGGCUCUGUAAGUUUUCGGUUAAAUCUGUACGCUUAACGUACAGGCUGCCGGGAAUACUGCAGAGCUAGGGAGUGGGAGAGGUAGACGGUACUCGGUAGGAAGUGGUAAAAUGCUUUGAUCUAUCGAUGACCACCUGUGGCGAAGGCGGUCUACCAGAACACGUCCGACGGUGAGGGAUGAAAGCUGGGGGAGCAAACCGGAUUAGAUACCCGGGUAGUCCCAGCUGUAAACUAUGCAAACUCAGUGAUGCAUUGGCUUGUGGCCAAUGCAGUGCUGCAGGGAAGCCGUUAAGUUUGCCGCCUGGGAAGUACGUACGCAAGUAUGAAACUUAAAGGAACUGGCGGGGGAGCACCACAAGGGGUGAAGCCUGCGGUUCAAUUGGAUUCAACGCCG